rnacentral:rRNA from 1 species
UACGAAGGGGGCUAGCGUUGUUCGGAGUUACUGGGCGUAAAGGGCGCGUAGGCGGCCCUCCAAGUCGGUCGUGAAAUCCUUCGGCUCAACCGAAGAACGUCGAUCGAUACUGCUGUUCUUGAGGGUUGCAGAGGAGACUGGAAUUCCCGGUGUAGCGGUGAAAUGUGUAGAGAUCGGGAGGAACACCGGUGGCGAAGGCGGGUCUCUGGGCAAUUCCUGACGCUGAGGCGCGAAAGCGUGGGGAGCAAACGGG